GUUGAUGGGAGGAUGGAUGGAGUGGCCCGGCAUUUGCCAUUGGUUCUCUGAUUUUGGACACAGGAAAACUUCCUGCUGGCAAAGAGAAAAUUUGCAAUGAUGAUCCUGAUUUGGAAUGGAGGCUGAAUUCAGGAGAUUUGCCAGGAAGAGAAGACAUAAUCUUGAGUCUGGUUUCACCAGCUUCCUGCAGAAUUCCACAUUAAAAAGGAUGAAGAACGGGUUGUUAGCAGACUGAGGCACUUGGGGCCACAUAUCAUAUGCAACAGGAGGGAGAAACGACUCCAGGAGCUGGCAAACUGGAACCUGCUUUUCUACACCACACUGCAGAGGGCCCUGAAUGUGAUCUAUGAUUCCAACAAGCAGCCCGGACGCAGAUCCGGAGGGCAGGGAUGACGUGGGGGCUGCCUUUCUGGUUGACCUGCUGGUAAGCAUGGCCUUAUGGAUCUAUC